rnacentral:rRNA from 2 species
UACGUAGGCAGCAAGCGUUGUUCGGAAUUACUGGGCGUAAAGAGUGCGUAGGCGGUUUGGCAAGUUUGGUGUGAAAUCUCCCGGCUUAACUGGGAGGGUGCGCCGAAAACUGCCAGGCUAGAGUGUGGGAGAGGAAAGUGGAAUUCCUGGUGUAGCGGUGAAAUGCGUAGAUAUCAGGAGGAACACCUGCGGUGUAGACGGCUUUCUGGACCACUACUGACGCUGAGGCACGAAAGCGUGGGGAGCAAACAGG